ACCGCGCCGCCCACCCGCGGCCACCCCAGCGCCCCAAAUGCCGCUCCAACCCUAGCCUCUCGCCAUGCCUUUCGAUCUCGGGCGGCCAUGGGAAACUGAUGCCGCUCGCCGGUCGCCGUCGCGCGGGAGGACGUCAGCUCCUCGCACUUCCCCGCAUCCACCUCGUCAUGGAGCUCUGCGAGGGCGGCGAGUUCUUCGACCGCAUCGUCGCGCGGGGGCACUACACCGAGCGCGCCGCCACCAAUGUCACUCGCACCAUCGUCGAGGUCGUCCAUUUCUGCCAUCGGCACGACGUCAUCCACCGUGACCUCAAGCCGGAGAACUUCCUUUUCGCCAAUAAGAAGGAGAACUCGCCGCCGCGCAGCGCCCCUCUCGAUAUGCCGCCCUGCUUCCUCCUCUCCUCUUGAUCCAUCUGCCAUCCCAUCCCCGCUCUGCCAGUUGCCCCUCGCUUCCUCUUCGGCUCUUCAUCCCCCUCGAUCCGUCGCCCGUGCUUCCUCCUCACUAUGUCCCGUCCCCUCUCCAUCUUGUCGCCCUGCCUCCCCGCGUCUGCGUCUGCGCCUGCCUUCGGCGUCCAGAGCCAUAUCCGCGUUGGCCUCCACCUACGCACCCGCCUCUAGCCAUAAGAGCUCCUCCCGUGUCUGCCUUUAGAGAUCUGCUACCUCCACAUCGGUGUCUAGGGCUCCUCCAUUGCCUAGAUCUACUAGAGUGAGUGAGCCUACAGAGCUGGCCUCAUCCAGGCUCCAGUUCCACCCCACGGUCAUCCUCUGUUGCUCUACGUUUCAUGCUUCUCACAUCCUCUCCUCAAUCUCAUCAACUGUGCUGAAGGAGGCAGAUGAAAGUAUUUCCGUCUCAUCAACUGUGCUGAAGAGGAGGAAAACACCUCACUUGUUGAAGGGAGCAGUGGAGACCCGGAGGAAGAUCAUUUGGAGUCUGCAGCUACUAAUCUUCAGCCUGGCAGUGACACUUGCAUUGCAAGGGAAGAGUUGCCAGAUCAGAAGGAUCUGGUGAAACUGCAAGCUGUUAUCCGUGGACAUCUAGAGGCGGCCCAUGCCUCACGGCCAAAGCAGAUCAGAUGAGAUUUUUUGGUCUUGCGUGGUUCUUUUUAAUCUACUCACAUGAUACUUCUUAUUCAUUGCCAUCCAAUUUAAUUAAUUGCCCUCGAUUGAAUUGGUUCCUUUGCCAUUUUACUUAGGAGGAUAAAAGAAGACACUACCUUGGCACAUGCCUGUUGUCACAAUGGACAAAAGAAGAUUAGUGUUGUGUGAGAUUUUUUUCAUUCCUUUGAUCUAUUGCAUGCUAUUUGUACCCUAAUCGACAAAAUAGAUGAGACUCAAUUCAGGAGCAAAUCACCAGUCCUGUUCACAGUCCAAUUCACUAUGGCUAAAAUAUCAAACUUAUGCUCCUUGAGGUUUGUUUUUUCCUUAUCUUCCUUUAAUAUCUGAUGACUGAUGGACUGGUGAGUUCAUGAUCUGCUUCAUGCUUUUCCUUUUAUAUAUGGUCACUACCUCACUGGUUAGUUCAUGGUGCUUUUUGUCUACUUCUUUGCCCAAAAAAAAUCCCGGGGCGAAUUUCAGCAUGCUUUUCCUGCUUCCGCUGUGCAAAUUCACAGGAUGCGUGGGAAAUGUGUUCUUGUUUCGUCGGGUGGUGUUCUUGCCAUUCGUUUUAGCUCAACACAAAACAAAUGCUUCUUGUUCUUCAGGUCGCCCUGUGUUUCUUUCUCGCCAGUUUGGGCCAUGGAUUCUGGUGUGCAUUUGUUCAAUAUAUCUUAGUAUCUUAUUUAACAAUCAGUACUUCUCUGAUGCUCAAGAGAUCAAUUUACUCAAAGUAGCAAACUGUAUCAUAGUUGUAUACUUUAUCAAACGAGGAACCUGAUGCUUGUAGUAUAAGCCUCAUUUUGUUCCAAACAAGACAGGCUUCGGAUACAAUCACCUGGAAAUCAAUCAGUAAACUUUUGCUAUUCAGUUUUUUAAAUAAAAAAUUUAGGCCUUACGACUUUCCUCGCAAUGUGUUCACAUGUAGAUUACCUUAUUGCAUUGCCUACUUUUGUCCGUUGUGUAAACCAAUCUUUUAUCAUUUAUCAAAUGAUUUUGCUCUUAACAUUAACAAAUUAUCGUUUGGUCAUAUGCAACUAAUGACAUCACAUUACCAAGAUUCUGGGGACCCAUCGCUACCUUGUGUCAACAGUAGACUGACCAGAUCAGGGAAACGCUCGGCGGCGAAGCUAAAGCAGAGCUUGCGCUACACGCGCUGCGAGCAGUUUCUGUCUAAAGGGCAAGGUCUGAUCUCAUAGUUUUACAGGGAACCUUCCAUCAUCAGUUGCUGACAUAGCUCGAACUCGACGUUUCUUCUUCGCCAGUUGCGGCUCUGGAUAAACUCGAAGCUGACCUAUCCAAGUUCGACGACGGGCCCUUCUUCCUAGGCCAAUUCAGCUUGGCGGAUGUAGCGUACAUUACGAUUCUGGAAAGGGUUCAGAUAUACUAUUCCCAUCUUAGGAACUACGACAUCGCCGAAGGCAGGCCCAACCUCCAGGAAUUCAUCGAGGAGAUGAACAAGAUUGAAGCGUAUGCGCAGACCAAGAACGAUCCUCUGUUCUUGCUUGAUCUUGCCAAGAACCAUCUUAAGAUUGCCUGAAGAUGUGACAAAGCAGCAUUAGUCCGUUGAUCGGUGGAAGACCACUCGUCAGUGUUGAGUUGAAUGUUUGAUCAAUAAAAUACGGCAUGUUGUUGCUGACUUUGGACUUGCAAAGUUCACUACUGAUAAUAACACCCAUGUUUCAACAAGAGUAAUGGGUACUUUUGGGUAUUUGGCACCUGAGUAUGCAGCAUCUGGCAAGCUCACAGAAAAAUCCGAUGUAUUUUCUUUCGGAGUCAUGCUUCUUGAGCUUAUUACUGGGCGGCGACCAAUUGACACAACCCAAUUGGCACUGCUUGUUAUAAGCACAUAUGUACUUCCAUUUGCAUGUUGUAUAAUACUAAUACCAAUUGCAAAAUUAUAGUUAUUUUUUCUACCCUUGUUAGUUAAUAAGCAUAUUUGUGGUCAAUAGGUUGUAUUCUUAUUCUUGUAACCGUGUUAAUUAAUGUUAUGGACUUGUAGUCUUGUAUUACCUUGUGA